rnacentral:rRNA from 1 species
GGUCCUAAGGUAGCGAAAUUCCUUGUCGGGUAAGUUCCGACCUGCACGAAUGGCGUAAUGAUGGCCAGGCUGUCUCCACCCGAGACUCAGUGAAAUUGAACUCGCUGUGAAGAUGCAGUGUACCCGCGGCAAGACGGAAAGACCCCGUGAACCUUUACUAUAGCUUGACACUGAACAUUGAGCCUUGAUGUGUAGGAUAGGUGGGAGGCUUUGAAGCGUGGACGCCAGUCUGCGUGGAGCCAACCUUGAAAUACCACCCUUUAAUGUUUGAUGUUCUAACGUUGGCCCCUUAUCGGGGUUGCGGACAGUGUCUGGUGGGUAGUUUGACUGGGGCGGUCUCCUCCCAAAGCGUAACGGAGGAGCACGAAGGUUAGCUAAUCCUGGUCGGACAUCAGGAGGUUAGUGCAAUGGCAUAAGCUAGCUUGACUGCGAGCGUGACGGCGCGAGCAGGUGCGAAAGCAGGUCAUAGUGAUCCGGUGGUUCUGAAUGGAAGGGCCAUCGCUCAACGGAUAAAAGGUACUCCGGGGAUAACAGGCUGAUACCGCCCAAGAGUUCAUAUCGACGGCGGUGUUUGGCACCUCGAUGUCGGCUCAUCACAUCCUGGGGCUGAAGUAGGUCCCAAGGGUAUGGCUGUUCGCCAUUUAAAGUGGUACGCGAGCUGGGUUUAGAACGUCGUG